CUCAGGCCCAGGGAGCAGUGCCGUGCCCAGGGCUCACGGUCCUGAGAAGACGCGAGAAGGAAGGCAGGAGGGUAGGAGGGUGCACGGGACACCGACCUAACUCCCGGCUGUGUCUGCAGAGCCUGGGAGGAUGACAGCGCCCUGACGCAAACUGAGAGCGCUAUUACUGCACCGCGGGGGCAAGGACCCGGGAGCCUCAGCUGGGAGGACAGUGAGGUCUGGGGACGUCAAGUGGUCACAGGCAGGGCUUCCAUGAGGCCUUGUGAACCACUCAUCAGCUCGCACGGCUUCCCAGAAGAGGGUAUAGUUGAAGGGCUCUUGCAGGAUGAGUAGGAGUUCGCUGGGUGGGCAGGGAAGAGAGAGCACAGCAGUCAGAGGCCGCAGCGCGUGGAAAGCUCAGAGGUGAGGAGCGGCGGGAAGGUUCGGGAAGGCAGCUGCUCGGGCCUGGCUCGGCGCGUGGGGGAGAGUGGCUGGAUGAAGCCCAGUCAGUGGGCAGGCACCGCUCCUGGGGACCCGGGGACGGCAACCAGGAGUCACUGAAAGGUUCCAGCGAGGGCACAGCCCACUCAGAAGCACAUUUGAGAGCCAGCCCUCUGGCGACAGAGAGGGACGUGGACUCAGGAGGUGGAGCUUGGUGGCAGGAGGACAAGGGACACGCACGUUUCUGCCAUUUCAAGACCGCAGUGAGCAGAUGCUUGGAGUGUCGGAAGCACACGCCAGACUCCCCCCCGGCUCCCACGCCCCCUAAUCCGGCCCAGGCGCACGAUGGACAGACAGGCCAGUGUGACCACAGCAGGUGGAAGGCAGACGGGGACCCCCGCGCUCUGAAUUCCCCUCCGCUGGGCUCCAAGGUCGGGGAGCCGAGGCCGUCCAUUAAUCCACGAAACUAGCCUUUGCUGGGGGCCUGCAGUGCGCCGACAAGCGAUGUCACCCACCGCCCGCAAGGAGAGCGCACAUGCGGCUCCUUGGCACAGAAGAUAAAUACUAAACACGCACACACACUGAACCCACUUACUGAGGAGUCUCCACUUGUUAGAGACACCCGUGAAGCGGCUUUAUGCGUCCCUAUAACUCCCCCUAACUACCUCUGUCGAGUCCCCCCUGCCUACUCCCUUAAAGACAUUUGGCCAAAUUAUACACAUUUCAGCCGUGCCCGCUUAUUAGAACUGUCUCGUCCCAGCACUUAGGCUGAUUCAUUGUGAAACUUCAGUCUCUGUGAAAAUCCGAGCUCUGGUCGGUCCUCUGUCCCUGUCACCAUCUGCACUCAGCACGCC
rnacentral:lncRNA from 12 species